rfam:Salmo salar isolate Sally breed double haploid chromosome ssa01, whole genome shotgun sequence.
UCCCCUGUGGCUCAGUUGGUAGAGCAUGGUGUUUGCAACGCCAGGGUGGUAGGUUCGAUUCCCACGGGGGAC